GGAAGCACUUCCCUUUAGAGUG
rnacentral:miRNA from 8 species